rnacentral:misc_RNA from 1 species
AUCGGAGAAAGAGGCGAUGAGAGAGGCUUCAAAAGAUGUAUCAGCAGAGUUCAAAACCCUAAUCAAUGAGGAAGAUUUGGAUUCCCUCAAGCAAUUGCAGCACCUCAUAUUGGGAAGGUUGCAGGAUAGUAACGCUGUCUUGUCUCAUUUUAACCAGUACUCUGAGCACUGCUUCGCUGAGGUUUCGAGUGAUUUUUCAAGAAAUACUCGUCUCUUGAGGUCUAUGAAGUCUGACCUCGACUACAUAUUUCAGAAGUUAAGGAGCAUGAAGGCUAAAAUUUUGGCUACCUACCCAGAUGCAUUUCCAGAUGAAUCGACACAAGAAGUACUCGAUGGAAGACCUAACCUUGAAAUGCCUUGUACUCGAUAGCAUUUAAUGUUUCCACAUACAUUUGUUAAUGGUGUCCUCAGUGAUGGGAAACUUCAGGAGAGCACACUAGAUUGAAAAUUUAUUAUGUCUAUUAUUAUUAUUAUUAUUAUU